rnacentral:rRNA from 1 species
AGAGUUUGAUCAUGGCUCAGAUUGAACGCUGGCGGCGUGCUUAACACAUGCAAGUCGAGCGGUAACAGGUGUAGCAAUACAUGCUGACGAGCGGCGAACGGGUGAGUAAUGCUUCGGAAUCUACCCAUUGGCGGGGAAUAACUAGCCGAAAGGUUAGCUAAUACCGCAUAAGCCCUACGGGGGAAAGCAGGGGAUCGUAAGACCUUGCACCGAUGGAUGAGCCGAAGUCGGAUUAGCUAGUUGGUAGGGUAACGGCCUACCAAGGCGACGAUCCGUAGCUGGUCUGAGAGGACGACCAGCCACACUGGGACUGAGACACGGCCCAGACUCCUACGGGAGGCAGCAGUGGGGAAUAUUGGACAAUGGGGGCAACCCUGAUCCAGCGACGCCGCGUGUGUGAAGAAGGCCUGCGGGUUGUAAAGCACUUUUAGUGGGGAUGAAAUGUUCAGGGUUAAUACCCCUGGAUCUUGACCUAACCCAAAGAAAAAGCACCGGCUAACUCUGUGCCAGCAGCCGCGGUAAUACAGAGGGUGCAAGCGUUAAUCGGAAUUACUGGGCGUAAAGCGUGCGUAGACGGUUAUCUAAGUCGGGUGUGAAAGCCCCGGGCUCAACCUGGGAAUUGCAUUCGAGACUGAAUAGCUAGGGUACGGAAGAGGGAAGCGGAAUUUCAGGUGUAGCGGUGAAAUGCGUAGAUAUCUGAAGGAACACCAGUGGCGAAAGCGGCUUCCUGGUCCAGUACCGACGUUCAGGCACGAAAGCGUGGGGAGCAAACAGGAUUAGAUACCCCAGUAGUCC